GACGGGGGGGGGCAAGUGUUCUUCGGAAUGACUGGGCGUAAAGGGCACGUAGGCGGUGAAUCGGGUUGAAAGUGAAAGUCGCCAAAAAAGUGGCGGAAUGCUCUCGAAACCAAUUCACUUGAGUGAGACAGAGGAGAGUGGAAUUUCGUGUGUAGGGGUGAAAUCCGUAAAUAUACGAAGGAACGCCAAAAGCGAAGGCAGCUCUCUGGGUCCC
rnacentral:rRNA from 1 species